rnacentral:rRNA from 1 species
AUUGAACGCUGGCGGCAUGCCUUACACAUGCAAGUCGAACGGCAGCACGGGAGCAAUCCUGGUGGCGAGUGGCGAACGGGUGAGUAGUAUAUCGGAACGUGCCCAGUAGUGGGGGAUAACUGCCCGAAAGAGCAGCUGAUACCGCAUACGACCUGAGGGUGAAAGGGGGGGAUUGCAAGACCUCCCGCUAUUGGAGCGGCCGAUACCAGAUUAGCCAGUUGGUGGGGUAAAGGCCUACCAAGGCAACGAUCUGUAGUUGGUCUGAGAGGACGACCAGCCACACUGGGACUGAGACACGGCCCAGACUCCUACGGGAGGCAGCAGUGGGGAAUUUUGGACAAUGGGCGCAAGCCUGAUCCAGCAAUGCCGCGUGCAGGAAGAAGGCCUUCGGGUUGUAAACUGCUCUUGUCAGGGAAGAAAUCCUCUAGGUUAAUACCCUUGGGGGGAUGACGGUACCUGAAGAAUAAGCACCGGCUAACUACGUGCCAGCCGCCGCAGUAAAAC